UAAGGAAUAUUGGUCAAUGGGGGCAACCCUGAACCAGCCAUGCCGCGUGCAGGAUGACUGCCCUAUGGGUUGUAAACUGCUUUUGUACGGGAAAAAACCUCUGAUCGUGCAUCAGGGCUGAUUGUACCGUAAGAAUAAGCAUCGGCUAACUCCGUGCCAGCAGCCGCGGUAAUACGGAGGAUGCAAGCGUUAUCCGGAUUCAUUGGGUUUAAAGGGUGCGUAGGCGGGAGAGUAAGUCAGUGGUGAAAUCCCCUCGCUUAACGAGGGAACUGCCAUUGAUACUGCUUUUCUUGAGUACAGUUGACGUGGGCGGAAUGUGCUAUGUAGCGGUGAAAUGCUUAGAUAUGGCACAGAACACCUAUUGCGAAGGCAGCUCACGAAACUGAAACUGACGCUGAGGCACGAAAGCGUGGGGAUCAAACAG
rnacentral:rRNA from 1 species